GCUUUCGUGGUGUAAUGGUAGCACACUCAGGGCGUAUUCGAGAGGUCCAGGUUCGAAUCCCGGAGACGGCA
rnacentral:tRNA from 1 species